GACGAACGCUGGCGGCGUGCUUAACACAUGCAAGUCGAGCGGUAAGGCCCUUCGGGGUACACGAGCGGCGAACGGGUGAGUAACACGUGGGUGACCUGCCCUCCACUCUGGGAUAAGCCUGGGAAACCGGGUCUAAUACCGGAUAGGACUCCUGGAUGCAUGUCUGGGGGUGGAAAGUUUUUUCGGUGGGGGAUGGGCCCGCGGUCUAUCAGCUUGUUGGUGGGGUGAUGGCCUACCAAGGCGACGACGGAUAGCCGGCCUGAGAGGGUGAUCGGCCACACUGGGACUGAGACACGGCCCAGACUCCUACGGGAGGCAGCAGUGGGGAAUCUUGCGCAAUGGGCGGAAGCCUGACGCAGCAACGCCGCGUGGGGGAUGACGGCCUUCGGGUUGUAAACCUCUUUCAGCAGGGACGAAGCGCAAGUGACGGUACCUGCAGAAGAAGCACCGGCUAACUACGUGCCAGCAGCCGCAGUAAAC
rnacentral:rRNA from 1 species